rnacentral:rRNA from 1 species
UGGGGAAUAUUGCACAAUGGGCGAAAGCCUGAUGCAGCAACGCCGCGUGAGUGAUGAAGGUCUUCGGAUUGUAAAGCUCUGUCUUUUGGGACGAUAAUGACGGUACCAAAGGAGGAAGCCACGGCUAACUACGUGCCAGCAGCCGCGGUAAUACGUGGGUGGCGAGCGUUGUCCGGAUUUACUGGGCGUAAAGGGUGCGUAGGCGGAUGUUUAAGUGAGAUGUGAAAUACCCGGGCUUAACUUGGGUGCUGCAUUUCAAACUGGAUAUCUAGAGUGCAGGAGAGGAGAAUGGAAUUCCUAGUGUAGCGGUGAAAUGCGUAGAGAUUAGGAAGAACACCAGUGGCGAAGGCGAUUCUCUGGACUGUAACUGACGCUGAGGCACGAAAGCGUGGGUAGCAAACAGGAUUAGAUACCCUGGUAGUCCACGCCGUAAAACGAUGAGUACUAGGUGUAGGAGGUAUCGACCCCUUCUGUGCCGCAGUAAACACAUUAAGUACUCCGCCUGGGAAGUACGAUCGCAAGAUUAAAAC